rnacentral:RNase_P_RNA from 1 species
UGAGUCAGUUUGACGGUCGCGGCGAAACGCUGAAAAGCGCUCGCUGAGGAAAGUCCGGGCUCCUAGGGCAAGGAUGCCGGCUAACGGCCGGUGAAGGCGACUUUAAGGACAGUGCAACAGAAAUAGACUGCCGAGAGGCGUCUCGGCGAUGGUGGAAAGGUGAGGUAAGAGCUCACCGGCGGUACGGAGACGUACCGGCCAUGCAAACCCCAUCCGGAGCAACGCCGUGGAGGAACAACGGGUGCCUGCCGGUUCCGCGGAGGCGGCUAGAGUCUUCUGGCAACAGAAGAUCGAGAUAGAUGACCGUCCACGACAGAACCCGGCUUAUAGACUGGCUCAGCAG